rnacentral:rRNA from 1 species
AGUAGGGAAUAUUGGGCAAUGGCCGAGAGGCUGACCCAGCCAUGCCGCGUGCAGGAAGAAGGCCUUCUGGGUUGUAAACUGCUUUUACCAAGGAAGAAAACGCCCCUGCGGGGGUAACUGACGGUACUUGGUGAAUAAGCACCGGCUAACUCCGUGCCAGCAGCCGCGGUAAUACGGAGGGUGCAAGCGUUGUCCGGAUUUAUUGGGUUUAAAGGGUGCGUAGGCGGCCCGUUAAGUCAGCGGUGAAAUCCCACGGCUCAACCGUGGAACUGCCGUUGAUACUGGCGGGCUUGAGUUCGGUCGAGGCGGGCGGAACUGGCGGUGUAGCGGUGAAAUGCAUAGAUACCGCCAAGAACCCCGAUUGCGUAGGCAGCUCGCUGGGCCGAAACUGACGCUGAGGCACGAAAGCGUGGGGAGCGAA